CUGGUUCUCUGAAUUUAUUUACAGAAAGCCAAAAUGAUGAUGAGGAAGAGGAAGAGAAAGGGACAGUGCCCCCCAGGAAUCUGCAGGAGUCUGUGGAGGAGGAAGCCCCCCAGGAGUCCUGGGAUGAAGGUUAUUCGACUCUCUCAGUUCCUCCUGGCACAUCUGCCUUCAGUGAGCCUUACAGGAGCAAGUUGCACUCAUUAGAGGAGCAGCAAGUCGACUUGGCUGGUGACAUAGACAAGAUUAAAAUAACCAAGAAGAGGAAGAAGACCAAGGCCCACGAUGCCCCAGGCUCCGCAUGGAGCUGGUGGAAGCAGAAGAGCCUGAAGUCUUCUGGUACUCACUGGAUAUAUUGCAUUCAAUGUAUACAGCCAAUCCUGAGUUUUUUUACACCUGCCAGGCUUACAUAUACGCUUUUUUUUAUUUGUAGAAGAGCAUGUUCGCUUGACUUUGGACAUGGACAGUAGGUUUCUUACUAUGAUGGUGAUAAGACUCCACCUGGUCUCCCGGAUAGGGGUCGUAUUCCCACACUAAGACAACAUGUCACCUGGGACUCUGCCGGUGCAGAGUAUGAACAACACCAUGUUCUUGCUGAAAACGCUUAGCCUGAGUUUCAUAGCCUGAGGUACUCUCCAGACAACUUCAGAAUGUAGACCAGUGAGCAGCACGACUGACCUGUCUCCUUCAGACAGCCCAUGUCACCACAAAUCACACAACUAAAAGGAGAAGAGUCAUUUUGGGUUGAAAAAGAGUCAAAAGAUAAUGUAGCUACAUUUCCUUAGUUCUUUUGAACCCAAAGUGUCUCCUCGCCUUUUUGUUGUUGUCAUUGAUGGUGGUGACAUGGGCUUGUUUGUAGAGGACAGGUCAGCUGUCUCGCUCAAUGGUCCAUACCCUGAAGUUGUCUGAAAAUGUCCUUAUGAUUAAAUUCAGCCUAAGUGUUUUUCCGGGAACACUGCAGGGUCAAUGCUACCUCACCCAUCUGCAGGCAGAGAAGGUCCCUUGUGUAUCCCACCAUGAUCGUUGUACCAGAACUAUUCCACCAUUUGUCUACGACCAUGAUCAUGGUGCCGGGGUUGUUCCACCAUUUGUCUAUCACCAUCAUCAUGGUACCAGGACUGUUCCACCAUUUGUCUAUCACCAUGAUUGUGAUACCAGGACUGUUCCAUCAUUUGCCUACCACAAUGCUUGUGAUACCAGGAUUAUUCCACCAUUUGUCUAUCACCAUCAUCCUGAUACCAGGACUGUCCCACCAUUAGUCUAUCACCAUAAUCGUGGUACCAGGGCUGUUCC